rnacentral:rRNA from 1 species
CCUGUGAACAUACCAAUUGUUGCCUCGGCGGAUCAGCCCGCUCCCGGUAAAACGGGACGGCCCGCCAGAGGACCCCUAAACUCUGUUUCUAUAUGUAACUUCUGAGUAAAACCAUAAAUAAAUCAAAACUUUCAACAACGGAUCUCUUGGUUCUGGCAUCGAUGAAGAACGCAGCAAAAUGCGAUAAGUAAUGUGAAUUGCAGAAUUCAGUGAAUCAUCGAAUCUUUGAACGCACAUUGCGCCCGCCAGUAUUCUGGCGGGCAUGCCUGUUCGAGCGUCAUUUCAACCCUCAAGCCCAGCUUGGUGUUGGGACUCGCGAGUCAAAUCGCGCUCCCCAAAUUGAUUGGCGGUCACGUCGAGCUUCCAUAGCGUAGUAGUAAAACCCUCGUUACUGGUAAUCGUCGCGGCCACGCCGUUAAACCCCAACUUCUGAAUGUUGAC